rnacentral:misc_RNA from 1 species
AACCUUAUGGACCUGCGGGCGUAUACCUGCGGAAGGAUCAUUAUCGAAUAAAACAUGGAUUAGGCUGUUGCUGACUUUUUGUACGUGCACGCCUAUUCCAUUUUUAUUAAACCACCUGUGCACUUUUGCGUAGAUCUGAGAAAAUCUUUCGAGUUGCGCGCAGCUCGGUUGAAGGGAUUGCUGUGUGCUUAUUUGCCAGCUUUUCCUUAUUUUAUCGCAGAUCUAUGCUCAUACACAUAC